rnacentral:rRNA from 1 species
AUUGAACGCUGGCGGCAUGCUUUAUACAUGCAAGUCGAACGGUAACAGGCCGCAAGGUGCUGACGAGUGGCGAACGGGUGAGUAAUGCAUCGGAACGUGCCCAGUCGUGGGGGUUAACUACUCGAAAGAGUAGCUAAUACCGCAUACGAUCUAUGGAUGAAAGCGGGGGACCGUAAGGCCUCGCGCGAUUGGAGCGGCCGAUGUCAGAUUAGGUAGUUGGUGGGGUAAAGGCUCACCAAGCCAACGAUCUGUAGCUGGUCUGAGAGGACGACCAGCCACACUGGGACUGAGACACGGCCCAGACUCCUACGGGAGGCAGCAGUGGGGAAUUUUGGACAAUGGGCGCAAGCCUGAUCCAGCAAUGCCGCGUGCAGGAAGAAGGCCUUCGAGUUGUAAACUGCUUUUGUACGGAACGAAACGGCUCUGGUUAAUACCCGGGGCUAAUGACGGUACCGUAAGAAUAAGCACCGGCUAACUACGUG